AAAAAAAAUGCCGAGGCUUUGGCUGGAAGAGAUGGGACAGAAAGAUUAGUAAUCUUUUUAUAUUCAUGCAUCCUUGCAGUUGCGAAAAGAUCUUACGUAUCUGCCCUUAUGAGUUUGGGACCUUCGAGCCUCAUAAGUACCUGGAUGACGUGUUGCUGAGCAUUACAGUUGGGGACACCUGUAUGAACUGGCUUAAUGGGUUCAUGGAGCACCA